AUUCUCCACUGGUUGAAUGCAAAUGGAAGCCAGAGGAAAAGGGAACCCUUGACACAGUUUUCAUAUAGAUUGGCCUCCAGGGCAGACAGCAGGAGUGGGGUUUAAUCUGGACUGAAUUGGAGGAAAGGAACUGGCACCAGAGUGGAGGCUGGAAGGAUGGUGGAACUGACACUGGGACAGAACACAGAAAACAGAAUCUAAUGCUAUUGCUCUGGCUAUAUCAAAUAAAAGUGUCAAGAGUGAGCAUCCUUGCCUUGUGCUGAAUCACAAAGGAAUACCUUUCAGUUUUUCUCCAUUGAUUAUGAUAGCAGUGGGCUUUUCACAGUGGGCUUUACUGUGUUGAGGU
rnacentral:lncRNA from 1 species